UUACAAGCGGUGUAAGGGCACGAAGAAUUUUGAUUUCUUAAGAGAGGAGCUUUACCUCCUAGU
rnacentral:tRNA from 1 species